GAUGAACGCUGGCGGCGUGCCUAAUACAUGCAAGUCGAGCGAACAGACGAGGAGCUUGCUCCUCUGACGUUAGCGGCGGUCGGGUGAGUAACACGUGGAUAACCUACCUAUAAGACUGGGAUAACUUCGGGAAACCGGAGCUAAUACCGGAUAAUAUAUUGAACCGCAUGGUUCAAUAGUGAAAGACGGUUUUGCUGUCACUUAUAGAUGGAUCCGCGCCGCAUUAGCUAGUUGGUAAGGUAACGGCUUACCAAGGCAACGAUGCGUAGCCGACCUGAGAGGGUGAUCGGCCACACUGGAACUGAGACACGGUCCAGACUCUUACGGGAGGCAGCAGUAGGGAAUCUUCCGCAAUGGGCGAAAGCCUGACGGAGCAACGCCGCGUGAGUGAUGAAGGUCUUCGGAUCGUAAAACUCUGUUAUUAGGGAAGAACAAAUGUGUAAGUAACUAUGCACGUCUUGACGGUACCUAAUCAGAAAGCCACGGCUAACUACGUG
rnacentral:rRNA from 1 species